AUCUACGGCCAUGCCACCUUGAAGAUGUCCAAUCUCAUCUGAUCUCGGAAGCUAAGCAAGGUUGUACCUGGUUAGUAGUACUUGGAUGGGAGACCACCUUGGAAGACCAGGUGCUGUAGGCA
rnacentral:rRNA from 1 species